UACCAGCACCCCGAGUGGUCGGGACGAUUACUGGGCGUAAAGCGUGCGCAGGCGGUUGUGUAAGCCAGAUGUGAAAUCCCCGGGCUUAACCUGGGAAUGGCAUUUGGGACUGCACGGCUAGAGUACGGCAGAGGAGACUAGAAUUCCUGGUGUAGCAGUGAAAUGCGUAGAUAUCAGGAGGAAUACCGAUGGCGAAGGCAGGUCUCUGGGUCGAUACUGACGCUCAUGCACGAAAGCGUGGGGAGCAAACAGG
rnacentral:rRNA from 1 species